rnacentral:rRNA from 1 species
GGUGAACGCUAGCGGGAGGCUUAACACAUGCAAGUCGAGGGGCAGCACGAGGUAGCAAUACCUUGGUGGCGACCGGCAGACGGGUGAGUAACGCGUAUGUAACCUACCCUGUACUGGGGGAUAACCCGGAGAAAUUCGGACUAAUACCCCAUAGAAAUAUAGAGAGGCAUCUUGAAAUAUUUAUAGUUUCGACGGUACGGGAUGGGCAUGCGUUACAUUAGCUGGUUGGUAAGGUAACGGCUUACCAAGGCUUUGAUGUUUAGGGGUCCUGAGAGGGUGAUCCCCCACACUGGUACUGAGACACGGACCAGACUCCUACGGGAGGCAGCAGUGAGGAAUAUUGGUCAAUGGGCGAAUGCCUGAACCAGCCAUCCCGCGUGCAGGAAGACGGCCCUAUGGGUUGUAAACUGCUUUUCCAGGAGGAGAAACUCUCGUACGUGAUACGGGAUUGACGGUACCCUGGGAAUAAGCAUCGGCUAACUCCGUGCCAGCAGCCGCAGUAACAC